UCAUAUACAUGUUUCUAGCCUUUUCCCUAUUUUGGUUUGCCAUUUAUUUACCCGGGCACUUGCUAAUUUUACAAGUUAUCUAUUGUAUAUUGUCAUGAUGCUUUUGGUGCCUUGAGAUAUAUUCUGAGGUGAUACCAUCUCUUAUCUAUCUUUUUAGGUUGUGAAAGGAAUGAAAUUAUGAUGCAAUGUUGAUUUGCAUAUUAUGCAGCUUCACCAACCUACUCCCUCAAUACCAAAAUAUAAGACUUUUUUGGUUUUGCAUAGGGCAUAGAAAACGUCUUAUAUUUUGUUAUGGAGGGAGUAUUUGAUUAUGUUUAACUCCUAAUUCUCUCAUUCUUCUGUAACCGGUUGCUCAAUGAGGUUGCUUUCUGCUGUUAAUUAUAGGUGUAAAUCACAGUCACAACAAGGUAUGGUGAUCCUGCCGGCGGAAAAGAAGUCAUGGAUUGUUGACCUUACAUGGCAACCUUGUAUCAGUUUUGGCUAUACAAACUUGCCUCUCUCCUUGGGAGCCGGAAUCUCUGACUUGCACGAGGGAAGUCAGGGAGCUACAGCGUUCUCCUUGUAUAGAAAAGAUAAGGCAAGUGAGAGACCUUGUGAAAUUGAAAUUGAUCUUCUUAAAAAAGUGAAAUUAGUUUUUUUAAUGAGUCUUUUGAAAUUGAAAUUGGUAUGUGCGAAUUGAAAUUGAUUAUUUAAAAAUUGAAAUCGGUCUUUUGAAAAUUGAAAUGAGUACCCUUCAUGGAGCUAGAGAGAAGUGAAGUCAGAUUACUGUAGCUCCCUUGAUUUCACUUCAUAAGUCAAAGGAUCCAGCGGACUUUUUAUGUUGUAUGCAAUUGUGGUAGUAUGGCUCUAAUGAGUUUU